rnacentral:ncRNA from 1 species
GUGGUAAUUCUAGAGCUAAUACAUGCGAGAAGCGCCGACCUCGCGGGAGGCGUGCAUUUAUCAGACCAAAAACCGGCCGCGUCUUCGGGCGCGUUCGCCUUGGUGACUCUGGAUAACUUUGCGGAUCGCACGGUCUAGCACCGGCGACGGAUCAUUCAAGUGUCUGCCCUAUCAACUUUCGUCGGUACGGUAUUUGCCUACCGAGGUUCUUACGGGUGACGGGGAAUCAGGGUUCGAUUCCGGAGAGGGAGCCUGAGAAACGGCUACCACAUCCAAGGAAGGCAGCAGGCGCGCAAAUUACCCAUUCCCGACGCGGGGAGGUAGUGACGAAAAAUAACAAUGCAGGACUCGUUCGAGGCCCUGUAAUUGGAAUGAGUACACUUUAAAAGCUUUAACGAGUAUCCAUUGGAGGGCAAGUCUGGUGCCAGCAGCCGCGGUAAUUCCAGCUCCAAAAGUAUAUAUUUAAGUUGUUGCGGUUAAAAAGCUCGUAGUUGGAUUUUGGGCGCAGGCGGCCGGUCCGUCGCAAGGCGUGUACUGGACGUCCUGGCCUUCCCUCCGGUUCUCCGCCGGUGCUCUUGACUGAGUGUCGGCGGCGGCCGGAACGUUUACUUUGAAAAAAUUAGAGUGUUCAAAGCAGGCUCUCGAGCCUGGAUAAUGGUGCAUGGAAUAAUGGAAUAGGACCUCGGUUCUAUAUUGUUGGUUUUCGGAGCGCGAGG